UACGGAGGGGGCCAGCGUUGUUCGGAAUCAUUGGGCGUAAAGGGCGCGUAGGCGGCUUUGUAAGUCCGUUGUGAAAUCCCUCGGCUCAACCGAGGAACUGCGACGGAUACUGCUUGGCUUGAGUUUGGGAGAGGGAUGCGGAAUUCCAGGUGUAGCGGUGAAAUGCGUAGAUAUCUGGAGGAACACCGGUGGCGAAGGCGGCAUCCUGGACCAAUACUGACGCUGAGGAGCGAAAGCCAGGGGAGCAAACGGG
rnacentral:rRNA from 1 species